UACGUAGGGUGCGAGCGUUGUCCGGAAUUAUUGGGCGUAAAGAGCUCGUAGGCGGUGUGUUACGUCGGCCGUGAAAACCUGCAGCUUAACUGUGGGCGUGCGGUCGAUACGGGCAUCACUGGAGUUCGGCAGGGGAGACUGGAAUUCCUGGUGUAGCGGUGAAAUGCGCAGAUAUCAGGAGGAAUACCGGUGGUGUAGACGGCUCUCUGGACCGCAACUGACGCUGAGACACGAAAGCGUGGGUAGCAAACAGG
rnacentral:rRNA from 1 species